rnacentral:rRNA from 1 species
GAUGAACGCUGACAGAAUGCUUAACACAUGCAAGUCGAUGGGGAAGUGGUGCUUGCACCAUGGUAACCAUGGCGGACGGGUGAGUAACGCGUAAGGGACUUACCUGCAGGACUGGGAUAACAGGGGGAAACUCCUGACAAGACCGGAUAAUGUCAUGGAGCUGCAUGGCUUUAUGAUGAAAGGAGACGCCUGCGGAGAGCCUUGCGUCCUAUUAGCUAGUUGGUGAGGUAAGGGCUCACCAAGGCGAAGAUAGGUAGCCGGCCUGAGAGGGUGGACGGCCACAAGGGGACUGAGAUACGGCCCUUACUCCUACGGGAGGCAGCAGUGGGGAAUAUUGGACAAUGGGGGCAACCCUGAUCCAGCAAUUCUGUGUGCACGAAGAAGGUUUUCGGAUUGUAAAGUGCUUUCAGCAGGGAAGAAGGAAGUGACGGUACCUGCAGAAGAAGCGACGGCUAAAUACGUGCCAGCAGCCGCGGUAAUACGUAUGUCGCGAGCGUUAUCCGGAAUUAUUGGGCAUAAAGGGCAUCUAGGCGGCCUUACAAGUCAGGGGUGAAAACCUGCGGCUCAACCGCAGGCCUGCCUUUGAAACUGUUAGGCUGGAGUACCGGAGAGGUGGACGGAACUGCACGAGUAGAGGUGAAAUUCGUAGAUAUGUGCAGGAAUGCCGAUGAUGAAGAUAGUUCACUGGACGGUAACUGACGCUGAAGUGCGAAAGCCGGGGGAGCGAACAGG